CUCGGAUCUCCGCUCCCCACACCCCCGGCCCCCCCUCCGCCAGGCUGUUUGGCUCCGGCGGCGGUUCAGAAUGAGCGGAUUGGACUGUCCUGCGCACAUGUGCAUCAAGAUGGAUGCAGCCAUGCUUUGGGUAUGAGACGGAACCUGCCUGGCAACGCACAGUAUGCAGAACUACUUUACUGGCCUCCUGAAUAGCUGUGACCGCAUAUGUAUACAUACUGCUGUGCCUAGCAAGAGAACAUGGCUUUUGGGCAAAAGAAGGUCAUUUGGCUGUUGCAUGAAGAAUAAGCAGAAGGGAGAAGGCUGAAGCAGGAAGAGCACUUAGGAGGUCACCUAAUGAACCAGGAAUAGGCAUGUUGGAGAUCAUCUAAGAAAUGAAUGGAGGAGAGAGGGCUCAAAGCUGUGUCCUUAGGAACUGCAAAGUUAAGAGGUCCGGAGGCUGAAGAGCAUCAGCAAAGAUGCCGUUGGACUGGAAGCCUCUAGAGAGCUGGGAGAGGGUAUCCGAAAUCUCUAGGAAAGGUGCUUCAGGCGGGAGAGAAGUCCUGUGUCCAGAGCUGUGGAGUGUCAGAUGAGCUGAAGAUUGAGAAGGGAUCAUCAGGUUCAGCAACGUGGACACCGCCGGGGAUCAGUGCAGCGGUGUGAGCCACAGCCUGGUUGGACUGGUUCAAGAAAGAGUGGUGAAACUGGUAGUUGUUACAUUUUGUCCGAGGAUGCUGCCUAAAAACAAGUCAUCUUGGGGCCAAGGAGAUGGCUCAGUGGAAUAAGCGCUUCCCUGGCAAGCACAAGGACAGGCAGGCAGGCAGGAAGGAAGGAAGAAGUCAUCUUCUGGUGUGUUUGUCUGAUAAUGCAUAUAGAGAUGAUGGUGACCAUGUAGCUAUAGAAUUCAAUUUAGCGGGUCGUGGAGAUAGCUCAGUAGAAUAAGCAUUUAUCUGGCAAGCGCAAGGGCCUGACUUCAAUCCC